rnacentral:tRNA from 2 species
GGGCCCAUAGCUCAGCUGGUUAGAGCUGCCGGCUCAUAACCGGCUGGUCCCAGGUUCGAGUCCUGGUGGGCCCACCA